UACACUUCAUGCGAUAUAGCUUAAUUGCAUUAGGACACUUAAUCAAGAGAAAAAAACAUCCAAACAAAUCAGGCCGUACGUUUGUCUUUUCACCAAGCUAUUAAGGAUCUGACUUUUGCAUUUUUACUUCUUAAAAAAUUGAAUGAUAGACGGAUGCUUUGUGUUUUCUGUUUGUACUAGCAUGUUAUUGGCCUUCAAGUUUAGAGGUCGGGUUUUCUCUGCACGUCACUUAUUUGAUGAAAUUUCCUUUAAACUUUGAAGGAAUAUAAAAGUCAAUCGAUUCGAACUAUAUACAUAAUAUGUUCUUCACAUAGAACUACUUCCAACCAACAUAGUCAACAAGUCAGGUGGAACCCCAGAAGUUUAAGGUAAUAAUCUGUUGAAUACGACUUCUUCUUUGUGGCUACUACUUUCUACACUCGUGUAGUAUUGUUUUUGCACUUCUCUCUAAACUCUAAGGUGAAGAGUCUCUCAAAACUUGUUGCGGGGCAAUACUAGAUUUUCAAAUUACAUUUCAUUAACUCAUUUCACUCACUUCAUUAUUAGGAAUUUGAGUUUGUUUCAUCCUUAGCCAUUUUCCACUUUAAUUUACAUUUCGUCUAGGUGAUACACUUUCUCAGCACAUACAUAUAGAGAUCCUGUAAUUUGAUCCAUAUGACAGAUGAAAAGAAUCAUAGGAAGACUCGAUAGAACCAUUGGCAAAGCCUCGACUAUCGAAAAAGUGAAAAGUGAUCUACACUAUAGCUUCUCCCAUUCCAUUUCUUAUUGUUGCUUUACUUUUUAGUGCUUAAAUAAGUUUAUUUGUUUCCCAACAUGGGGUAGUAACUGUUUUUUUUCUAUAGUAGGAUAUAAAGAGAUUUUUUCUCUUUACUAGAGCCAAGACUGUAUGAGGAGAGAAAGACUCAAGUCAAAAUAAUCGCACUGUUUCUAUACCUUAUCUCAAGUUACCCCUUAGUACGGGUAUGUGGCACUUUGUCAGAAAUCGUUCAUUUAGCAAGAAGUCAUAUUGCUUGAAAGCACACACAACACGUACAAGAAGAGUUCGAGUGUGAAAGCAUUUACUUAUGUACUUGCUAAAACACUUAAGUAGCAAAUAAUGUAUUUGAUCUCUUUAGUUUGACAAUUGAGACUUCAUUUUCACGUUGAGCAGUAGAAUCUCAAUUUUUUUUAUUACUUUUAAUUUCUUAGGAGGUUCUGCAUAACUUAUGUACUUGCUAGCAUUUGGAUUGUCCUUAUUCUAUUGUCGUAUAAAUAAGAAAGAUAAACUUUUCUUAGUGAGUUGAAGUAGACUUGCCCUAGGUGUCAAUAAAUUGAGAUUAUUCUUAUUUAUGAUGUAUAAUUACUUAUAAUAUUCUCUUUGUAGUGUAAAUUUGCAGAUGAUAAAGAGUUAACAGAAUCAUUCAAGGCUUAUUGAAAUUCUCUUAAUUUUGAUUAUAAAUCCUACAUUUAUGCUCUGAACCCUUAGCCUGGUUAUCAAAAUUAAUUUGGAAACUAUAGUUGGCUAAUAUCAUUGACGUUCUAUAUUGAGUUUGAAUUCUUCCUUUUAUUCCUAUUGACCAUUUUAAAACAUAUUGUUCUUCCUCUUUCGAUAUGCAUGUAUGUAAGUUUCAAGACGAGUGAUGGAGCGACGUGUCUCAUUUUUCCAGGUUCAUUGUAG
rnacentral:lncRNA from 1 species